UACGGAGGGGACUAGCGUUGUUCGGAAUUACUGGGCGUAAAGCGCGCGUAGGCGGUUUUGUAAGUCGGGGGUGAAAUCCCGGGGCUCAACCUCGGAACUGCCUUCGAUACUGCAAAUCUCGAGUCCGGAAGAGGUGAGUGGAAUUCCUAGUGUAGAGGUGAAAUUCGUAGAUAUUAGGAAGAACACCAGUGGCGAAGGCGGCUCACUGGUCCGGUACUGACGCUGAGGCGCGAAAGCGUGGGGAGCAAACAGG
rnacentral:rRNA from 1 species